rnacentral:tRNA from 1 species
GCACGUCGUGCGGUGUGAGGCAGUACACGCGCGCCGAAGAACGUCAUCCGGCGGUGGAAUCGCGGGUUCGAAUCCCGCCGCGACGUGCA